GACGAACGCUGGCGGCGUGCUUAACCCAUGCAAGUCGAACGGCAAGGCCCUGCUUUUGUGGGGUGCUCGAGUGGCGAACGGGUGAGUAACACGUGAGUAACCUGCCCUUGACUUUGGGAUAACUUCAGGAAACUGGGGCUAAUACCGGAUAGGAGCUCCUGCUGCUUGGUGGGGGUUGGACAGUUUCGGCGGUUGGGGAUGGACUAGCGGCUUAUCAGUUUGUUGGUGGGGUAGUGGCUUACCAAGGCAUUGACGGGUAGCCGGCCUGAGAGGGUGACCGGCCACAUUGGGACUGAGAUACAGCGCAGACACCACCGGGAGGAAGCAGUCGGAAAUAUUGCACGAUGGGAGGAGGCCUGAGGCAGCAUCGCCGCGUGCGGGAUGACGGCCUGCGGGUUGUAAACCGCGUCUGCCUGGGACGAAGCGUGAGUGACGGUAUUGGGUAAAGAAGCACCGGCUAACUACGUG
rnacentral:rRNA from 1 species